CCAACGGGGGGCAGCAGUGGGGAAUAUUGGGCAAUGGGCGCAAGCCUGACCCAGCAACGCCGCGUGAGGGAAGAAGGCUUUCGGGUUGUAAACCUCUGUCCUUGGUGACGAAGAAAGUGACGGUAGCCAAGGAGGAAGCCCCGGCUAACUACGUGCCAGCAGCCGCGGUACUACGUAGGGGGCGAGCGUUGUCCGGAAUUACUGGGCGUAAAGGGUGCGUAGGUGGCCUUUUAAGUUGGAGGUGAAAUACCCGGGCUUAACUUGGGGGGUGCAUCUAAUACUGGAGGGCUAGAGUGCAGGAGAGGGAAGCGGAAUUCCUAGUGUAGCGGUGAAAUGCGUAGAUAUUAGGAGGAACACCAGUGGCGAAGGCGGCUUUCUGGACUGUAACUGACACUGAGGCACGAAAGCGUGGGGAGCAAACA
rnacentral:rRNA from 1 species